UACGGGGGGGCAAGCGUUGUUCGGAAUUACUGGGCGUAAAGGGCGCGUAGGCGGUUGGAUAAGUCAGCUGUGAAAACCACGAGCUCAACUUGUGGCCUGCAGUUGAAACUGUCUGGCUAGAGUGUGGGAGAGGGAAGUGGAAUUCCUGGUGUAGCGGUGAAAUGCGUAGAUAUCAGGAGGAACACCGGUGGCGAAGGCGGCUUCCUGGACCACAACUGACGCUGAGGCGCGAAAGCUAGGGGAGCAAACAGG
rnacentral:rRNA from 1 species